rnacentral:lncRNA from 1 species
AAAGUGUUGAAAUGAAAAAUGAAAAUGACCUAACAGAAUUUAAGUGAUUCUGUCACGCACUGUUCGCGGGGCGAAUAGUGUUCGCGGCGCGACCUGAGACUCUUCAUUCAGUUCGCGGCGCGAACUGGGGUUGCGGGGCGAACUAUGAAAAACAGAACCUCAAAUUCUAAGAUUUUAACAGAGAUGAACAUCAAUGCAGCAGAGAAAAAUAAAAUGCAAACUUACGACGUUGGGUUGC